rnacentral:rRNA from 1 species
UACGUAGGGGGCAAGCGUUUGUCCGGAUUUAUUGGGCGUAAAGAGCGUGUAGGCGGCUAGACAGGUCCGCUGUGAAAACUCGAGGCUCAACCUCGAGACGUCGGUGGAAACCGUUUGGCUAGAGUCCGGAAGAGGAGAGUGGAAUUCCCGGUGUAGCGGUGAAAUGCGCAGAUAUCGGGAAGAACACCCGUGGCGAAGGCGGCUCUCUGGGACGGUACUGACGCUGAGACGCGAAAGCGUGGGGAGCGAACAGG